AUUUUCUUGUGGCUGAAAUGAGGUGAGAUCUACCAGACCUUGUGUUGUGUGGCUUGGCUUGCUCAUGGCCCUGUUCUUGGUCUUCAAGGCUGCUUGCUGGUCAAAUGUCCUUCUCCUGCUGAGGGAUGUUAUGAAAGAAAGUAUAUACUACACCUUUCAAUAAUCUCAACCAUAUCUCUGUUUCUACAUGAAUGAAUGAAGAGUUGAAAAAUUUUUUCUUCUCCCUGAAGAAUUGUGUUUUAUUUAUUCCCGAAGAAUAAAAAUUAUA